UUGGGCAAGACCUAGCCCGGGGUCUCCGUGCCAGCCCCUUCUCGCUUUUGACACCGCCGCCUCCUCUCCUCUCCUCUCCUCUCCCUCGAUUCUCCUCGCGCCGCCGCACCUACUCCGAGCCCCUCCUCUUCCCCGUGCCAUCAGCCUCCUCCUCUGCGUCUCUCCUCGUCGGUCGGGGAUCUCCUCGCCGCGGUUGCAGUGGCCGAACAAGAGGAAGAGGAGCUGCAGCGUCGGGUCCGUGCAGCGGCCUCCUCGUGGUGGUCGGCUGCUCGACGCGCCGCGCCACCGCUGCGGGAGAUGGUGAACACGAGGAGAUGCAGGGUGGCCUCGCCGGAAGAGGGCGACGCCGGGAACCACCCACUGGCGAAGGACCGCGUGGGCUGGCACUUCCCUGCGACGCCCUCCUUCCCCGACUUCGCCGUCGCCACUGCCCCCUCCCCUCCCGUCGAGGCUGAGCCUGCACAGCGUGGACGAGCCGGUCGCGAUGGAACCAGAGCGCUCGAGGCCGGGGUGCGAGAACGAGAUGAUGUCCAACAGGCGGAGGGUGGCCAUGGAAGGAGCAGCCCACAAUGAAAUCCAUUUUCUCUUUGUGUGUGUGUGUGUGUGUGUGUUGGAUUUGGAUCGAGAAAGGAGAUGGCGUGGCCGCGUGGGGAUGAGGCGGUGGACGGAGGAAGAUGGCUGAUCUGGAUCCAGGCGGCCACUCGUGUGUUUGAUCUGUUCAUUGACAUGAUCUUAUCUCCUCUCAUCUGCCAUCUCUUCUCUCACUGAUCCCGUCUCGUCUCGUCUCAUCUCUACAGGUAGAGCGGCCAGAGGAGCAGACCAACAUCUGAACAUCAACUGCAGUUUGUACAUUUUGGUUAUACUUUGUUUCAGUUUGUACACAUCUCGUUUUGGUUAAACUCCUGUCUUAGAUGCUAUGGCUGAAACUAGAGCAAACUGUUUGUGUGCAUCACAUUUUGGUUCAGUUUUGGAUGAGUGAGAGUAGGUAGAGCAUACUAUGUGUGUGUGUGUGUCCAUUGUAUCAUGACGAAUUGACUUGUGCUAAAAUUAGAAACGAGAAAUGGUACACAGACAUGUUAGUCUAUUUAACCACCUUCUUGGAUCAACUUGACACAAUACUAUUUUGAUUUGUUUUAAUAACUGUGGUUAUAUAUUCUAUAAAUUUAUUCAUCAACAUGAUUUCUCUAUUUUCUGUGUCGUACAUUUUACAUAUCUUUAGUCAUAAAAAAUCAAAUAGGGGCAAGACUGUUACAGAAAAAUUACUUGCAAGCAUAAUAGCAUAUUGUGAUUUACUUCUUUAUAGAGUAUUUUGUAAUGGAAUUAUCUGUAUAAUCUCCUGUGUUUGUCUGAUGCUGACCAUCUGAGAAUAUGUGAAACUAUUUUCUCUCUGUCCUGAAGGUUGUUGACUGCAGAAUCUGUGGUGAUCCACACUCUGUUGGUUCACACUCAUUGAGUUCUCUCGUGAAGAUAUUAUAUCUUCACAUGGUACAUUUAUGUUUUUCGGCAGUUAAUUGAUGUUUUGAUACAUGAUACAUUUCAUGCACAGGGUGCUAGAGCUGCACUUAAUUUGCUAACAUCAUCGCCUUGUUCUUCAUGGGAACGUAAGGACCAUCAACUCUGCAACUCUAGCACAAGUUAAGUAAGGAAGCCAUGAAUAUUUCUUUGUUUGAGAUGAUUGCUAAUUAAACCUGCACUCCUAAAUCUGGGGGCUGCCAACCCCUUUUGUCUAAUUCAAAAUAGUUGUAAAUUGUUAAUGGUUGUCGUUGUCGCUGUUAUAGGAGUGAGGAUGGUGAGCCAACCCACUGCCGCAAAGUUCUACAAAUGGUUCUCAGAGGUUUAAUGGCGAUGACAUGGCGCAGUCGAGCAAGUUUUGGUCAAUGUUUCAUGGCUCAAUCAACGAAUGGUGUUAAAACUGCUAAUCCUGAAAGCAAGAUUUUGAAUGAUUCCUACCUCGAGCUUCCGCUUCAGUUGUUUCUUGGUUGUUCAAGUAUGCUUGGUGGUUCUUCCUCGAGGGUUGAGAUGGACCAUGCACUGGUUACAUCUUCUCCUAUCUCCAUGUUCUUCUUAAUUUUCUUGUGCAAUCAGAGCUGUAUUAAGACAGUUUGUGCAGUCCAUGCUUUUAACAUUGAAAAUGAGAAGGUGAAAUGAUGGGCUUGGACAGUGCUGAUGUUUUUUUUUCUUCUGGGCAUUACAUUACUAAAAUGAACUAUAUUUACAAUUGUUGAACUUCCAUAGCUAAUAAGAUGAUUUUUUUUCAGCAUUCGAUAUGGAACAAUUGUACCAUAUGUGGUUGCUUUCAGGUGCUUUGUUAGGUAACACCUGCGCCUUCAUUUCAAGUGCAAGCCGCCUCUCUCACUAUGCAUUAUCUCUAGCCGCAUCACCGUCGACAUCAGCUACCGGCUAUACAUAUGAUCCAUGUGUCGUGUUUAGUCUCUCUCUAAGACUUGAUAUGCCUUAGUUCUGAUGAUCCGACAGACUCUGCCUCUCUUUUGAAGAUCAUCCACCUUUUGGAAGAUGUUCAUCUUUGAUUUCAACCGCUGGAUGGGUCUCAUGUGCUUCUGAUAAUAUAGACCUGCUAGCUUGCUCUGCUUGCUAUGUUUUAUGGCUGAACACUCUAAUAUUGCAGUUCUGUUAAGUGCAUUCCUUUUUAAGCAAUUGGUGCUCAUUUGGACUGCACACAGAAGUUAACAAAUAAUACAAUAAGAUUAGUACGCCCAGUCCUAUGAGGGUGGGUUUCUUUUUGAUGCAUCGCUCGAUUUGUGCUGGCUGAAAAGUCUACGAGCUAAUGCCUUGCUCGGUUUGUGUUUGCUAAAAAAUCUACUCCCUCCGUUCGGAAUUACUUGUCGUACAAAUGGAUGUAUCUAGACGUAUUUUAGUUCUAGAUGCAUCCAUUUCCGAGACAAGUAAUUCCGAACGGAGGGAGUACAAGAUAAUGUAUGGUGCGACCAGCCUGUCAGCAUGCACGAUCUUUGUUUGGAUUUCGUCUCAUUGGUAGUUUGGCCCUAUAGAUAAAACUUGUGCAUAUAUAUGGCCUGCUUCCUGGUUAAUUAAGUAUUUGUAUGCUUUUAAAACAUGACAUGAUCUUUGCGUAGUGGCACAUCUGUCUCAUAAGUUUUUGACUUCCGUUUAUGACAUGCUAUCAAGUCAGUUGUCAGUUUGGCUGAGAGGUUUCUGAAUUUUUCCUUAAUGUGAUGUGUUUCUUAUCGUGAGUGAUUUUCGUGGCUCACUCGUUUCCUAAUUGCCAAACCUCAUAGAGGAAACUAAGGAAUGGCGGGGACUCUGGUUUGGUUAUGAGGAGUGCUUGGUGGAUGCUUAUGUGAUACUAUUAAGGAGCUUAGCUCAAGCUCAAAUAUGGAAGGUCACUACUUGAAGGUCUGCACAUGUUCAUGCUGGAGCAUUAGAAUAAAUAAAGUGAGUCUUGCAGUAUUUAUUGGGUGAAGUUCUGUGUAUGUAUCUACACGCGGCGGUGCCUAUUGCUGGAUGAGAGAUGGGUCCUGACCCGGACGCAGCGCCCAUCCCCAUCUCUGGUACCGUCGGAGAGGCAAGGAUGGCGCCGGCCGUGCCGCGGCACGGCUCCAAGGCCACCAGUGUGACUGCAACAACAGCUACAACUUCGCGCCGCUAAAAUUUCCCCGGGCUGGUGGAAAGCGGAAAAAGGUAUGGUUCGGAUGGAUUUGAUUUGUUCCAUGUGUACAUCUCCGGUCUUUCCUCCAUAGCCAGUCGUUGAGCAGAUGGCGGAGCAUGGGAAGGAGGAGGAGUUCAGCACGGGGCCCUUGUCUGUGCUCAUGCUUAGCAUCAAGAACAACACUCAGGCUGGUUUGGUGUUCUUUCAUCAGUUGAGAUCUUGGCUUAGCAAGGAACAAUUUUCUGCAGUACUACUCACUAUCUCUCUUCAUAUAUGUUUGAAUUGAAGGCUUUCCAGCGUUUCUUGUACUUGGGCUUGCUAGAAAUCUAAUCAACUUAGUUGCUUGUUCAACUGUAGUUUCGUGAAUUGCCUUUAGUAAUGCUGUAUUUCGUUCUGUCCUCUUAGUAUGCAAAGUUAAGUGCAACAUCGCAUAAUAUAUAUGAGUAAUUAACCGUGCUCUAGAGUAAUGCAUUGCGUUCUGUCCUCUUAGCAUGCAAAUUCUAGUGCAUUAUCAGGUAAUAUAUAUGAGUAAUUAACUAUGAUUUUGGCGGCCUUUCGUCAAAUGCCUUUGCCCUUUGGUAGUCGUUUACUACUGGAAAGUUAAAUGAAACAUCAUUUAGAUGACUGAUUAUUAAGUGCCAACCAUAGUUUCUGUGCAACUGUUUAUUUUUUCAGUGUUAAUGUCGCUCUUCUCGCUUCUCUGAGCAUGAUUGUUUCAUAAUUAGCACAGGAUCUGUAGACAUGGGAAUGCUCAAGUGUCAACUGUCGUGAGACAAUGAGAACAACAACAUUUACAGAACAUAGAAUCUGAGCUUCAAGACAAGCAGCCCAUAGUAACCUUAGUUGAGUAGUUCAUCUAUUAUUUUGGACUGACUGAAUGUGGUCUUAUACCAAUCUAAUAUAUGUACUUAUAUCUCUGGAAGACUAAAGAGUUGAAUGAUGCAUAGUGUGAAUGAUGAACUUGUACAACUGAUGGGUGGGGAGGGCAGGUCUGCAAGGUGUUGCGAAAACCCUUUCUUGAUGUGAACAAUAUGGUCUGGUAUUAUUGUUAGUUGUCAAUCGAUCCAUGAUUCAAUCUCGUUUGCAAAUUCAAGUGUUUCAUUUGAAGGAUGACGCAAAUCACACGCAAGGAACAUGUUAAUAUGCAUACUAUUGUUCUUCCCGAGUCAUUUGUGCAACAUAUAUAUUUCAACAUAGCAAUUGAAAACUGACUGGUGUGCAGGUUGGUUUUUGUGUGUUCUAAGUUCUACAACUACUAAGGGCUAUUGGUUCUGGAAAUUAUUCACAAGCAUGCGGGCUCUGACCUACUUUUGUCCAAAUAUCUUUCUUUGUAGUGAGUUGUGCUGAUUCACAUUAAGGUGCAUCGAAACUACCCGAAAUCAUUUUAUUUUGUCUUCCCAUCGGUUACUUUUAAGAGUUGGGUAUCCUGAAGUUUUUCCAAGAUGUGCACCCUAUUCCUCUGUUUUCACACUACUAUUUUUCCGUUCUUUAGUUUUAGUGUAUAUGACGCAUUUCUUUUGUCGAAGUUAACUCUUCAUUCUUCUCAUAUGCUCUUCCAGAUUGGUUACCUUUUAGACACUCAAGUAAAUGUUUCACAUUUUCUUUGAAGUUUAUUUUCUUGGAGAAUCAUAUAUCUAUGUCAGAUCAUGCUGUUUAGUUGUGUAUGCUCUCUUUUUUUUACUGAAUUUUAUAAAUGUUUGUUGCUUGGAGAAUCACAUUUCUUUUAACUGUUAAUUCACGAGGACUGUAUUUAUAACUCUCAUUUAUUUUGAAAGCGAGUAUUAGCUUUGAAUAGUCAUUAUCUUUGACCAUUUUAUAGCGAGUCGAUAGAAUAAUUUCUCAUAUCAAUGUCCAGUCCCUUGCUCCUCGAAGAAUAUCUGAUUCAUUAUUCCUUCUUGUGAAUUCUUUAUUUCAGGUCCUGAAGAGGAUGUUUCUGCACCUCUAUUAUGCUUCCAGAAAAAGGCGCACCUAUGGAUUUUCAAGAAUGGGCACAUUCGCUCUCUGGUCUUCCGAUGCAACACUGUAUGUGUUGUCGAAUUUUGGCUUUUGGCUGCUCGUGUAGUGUCGUACUAAAUAAAUAGACCAGUCAGAUGCAUUGUAGCCAUUUGUGCUUUGGCUCAAUAAAUGAAGAAACCUAUAGGAACAUAUAUUGUGUUCUUUGUGUUCCACCUUGUAAGACUGCCACCUCUCUGUUAAUAUAGACCUAUGACCUUGCUUU